CAUAUUUUUAUUACGCUAUUUCGAUAAGUUAAUCUGUAUAUCAUUAGUUUAUCAUAUUAACUAAAAGCGAAGUCAAAGAUAUAAUUUGAUGGGAAAUUAACAAAGAAUCUAAAUACUUUAAAUUAAACGAAACUUUCAGUUCAACCCACGCCAUCCGUUGACCCCUGGAGAUUCGGACUAUAAGAAGGAUCCAGAGGCAAAGGAGAAGACACAUUGUGUAAUAUUUGUAAUUGAUGCCGUGGUUCUAAGUUCAGGAUCAAUAUCGAAUGAUUUGAAGAAAAAAAUCAAAUGUUUGCAAGACGAAAUAAAAGUGCGCGGCAUACCAAGAGUGCUUAUUCUCACCAAAGUGGAUCUCCUGUGUGAAAAGGUUGCUGAGGAUAUUCAAAAUAUUUUUAGGAGCACAAAAAUUCAAAAGGCAGUAAAAAAGGCAGCGGAAAUUUUCGCUAUUCCAGAAUCCAACAUCCAUCCCGUAAAAAACUACGAGGGAGAAAUCGCUAUAGAUCCGAUCAUAAAUAUUCCAUUACUGCUCGCUCUGCGGCAGAUUGUGCAUUAUGCAACUGAUUUCUUAGAAGCUGACGAUGAAGAUUCUGACUGAGUAGGUUGAUACGUAUGAAUUUAUUCUUUACACAAGAAUGAAAUGAAACAUAACAUGUGACAAUUUACAAUACUUUCGAAUGAUUCGGAAGAUAUAUCUAUUUUUUUAGCUCACCAAUGCUCAGGUGAGUUUUUCUGAUCACUCGAUGUCCGGCGUCUGUCUGUCUGUAGUCUGUCCGUCAACAUUUAGCAUGUGUAUGCGAUAGAGGCUGUACUUUUCAAUUGAUCUUUAUGAAAUUUGUUCAGAAUGAUAACCUUGAUGAAAUCUAGGCCGAAAUUGAAAGUGGGUCAUCUGGGGUCAAAAACUAGGUCACUAGGUAAAAUCAAAGAAAAACCUUGUGUAUGCGAUAGAGGCUGUAUUUUUCAAUUAAUCUUCAUGUAUUUUAGUCAGAAUGAUUACCUUGAUAAAAUCUAGGCCGAGUUCGAAAAUGGAUCAUCUGGGGUCAAAAACUAGGUCACUAGGUCAAAUCAAAGAAAAACUUGUGUAUGCGAUAGAGGCUGUAUUUUUUAAUUAAUCUUCAUGAAUUUUGGUCAGAAUGAUUGCCUUGAUGAAAUCUAGGUCAGGUCCGAAUAUGGGUCAUCUGGGAUCAAAAAGUAGGUCAUUAGGUCAAAUCAAUAAAAACCUCGUGUAUGUGAUAGAGGCUGUAUUUUUCAACUGAUCUUCAUGAAAUUAAGUCAGAAUGAUUGCCUUGAUAAAAUCUAGGAUGAGUUUGAUUAUUGGCCAUCUGGGGUCAAAAAGUAGGUCACUAGGUCAAAUCAAAGAAAAACCUUGUGUAUGCAAUAGAGGCUGUAUUUUUCAAUUGAUCUUCAUGAAAUUUGGUCAGAAUGAUUACCUUGAUGAAAUCUAGGUCAGAUUUGAAUAUGGGUCAUCUGGAAUCAAAAAGUAGGUCACUAGGUCAAAUCAAAGGAAAACCAUGUGUAUGCGAUAGAGGCUGUUUUUUUUUUCAAUUGAUCUUAAGUGAAAGUAAGUCAGAAUGAUUGCCUUGAUGAAAUCUAGGUAGAAUUUGAAUAUGGGUCAUCUGUAGUCAAAAAGUAGGUCACUAAGUUAAAUCAAAGAAAAACCUCGUGUAUGUGAUAAAGGCUGUAUUUUUCAACUUAUCUUCAUGAAAUUUGGUCAGAAUGAUAGCCUUGAUAAAAUCUAGGUCAAGUUCGAAUAUGGGUAGUAUGGGGUCAAAAACUAGGUCACUAGGUCAAAUCAAAGAAAAUACUUGUUUUUGCUCCAAUUUUAAUGAUAAUUGGUCAGAAUAUUUUUUUCUAUGAAGUCACUAGGUCAAACAUGUUUACACUGUUAUGGUGUAUUAUAGUGUGUUUCUCAGGUGAGCGACCUAGGGCCAUCUUGGCCUUCUUGUCUAAUUCUUUUUAUUCAUUUUCUUUUCUAAUAUAGAUACACUCUUGGACUUUAAAAUCUCUAUCUAUGCGUUAUGAUUAUUUUAUCAAUGGCAAAUUGCCUGAGGCAUAACAUAUGUGUUAAAAGUAAUGAUAUAAAGGUGGUAUUUUUUGUGAUAAACGAGGCAUAACUACCGCUUAUGAAACGGAUCUGAUUUAUUCUGAAAUAUGGCAUUCAACAAAUAACAAUAUCAAAUAUCCGUUGAAAUUGUUACCCUGCUUAAGGAUAGAUGAAUUGAUCAGUUGUUCCAAUGAUAAAAGGUAAAAUUGGAUUGUACUUUGCAAAACACCAGCGUAGAUGAUGUGGGCUUAAUUUAAUGCGUUCGCGCUUUGGUGUCAAACAUGAAACCAUAGAGCCUCUUCCGGUCAGGUAUUAUUUCUGUGAUUCUCACAUAUCGAAAUUACUGGUUGAUAUUUGAUACUGUCGCUUUAUAACGUUUAAACAAAUUUUACGAUUUUUAGAAAUACCUCUUUUUAAGAAUAACAAAGGUUUAGUUCAGAUAGAGUAAGGACACUUUGGAAACAUGGAGCUGCGUUUUCAGAACACAAGAUCAUGAAUUAUGUUUCUAUUUCUUUGUCUUUGGGGGUGGGGGGGGGGGGGGGGGGGGGGAGUGUUAAAGUUUAAAGAUGAAGAUCAUAUGAAGGUCAAGGUCAUCUGUAUAUAGUUUUGUUUAUAGGUCUUGCCACAAGGUGCGUUGAGUGUCAGUUUGAACUGAAUAUUGGGUUAUUUAUGUAGGCUGUAGAACCAAAAGUUUGUUUCUUAAUGUUUCAAAUUUGAAGGAGAAGGUCAUAGGAGGUAGAUUUAUAUAGUUAUAUAUGAAUGUCAUGUGUAGGUCUUGCCACAAGGAUUGUUCAGUGUGAGCAUGAACUAAACUGGGUUAUUAAUGUAGGUUGUAGGCGAAACGGUAAAAGCGGGUUAACCGAAAAGCUGUUUUAGAGCUUUGAAGUUAUAAGGUAAUGAUCAUAUUAAGGUCAAUGUUAUCUAUAUUAGGCCAGUUUGUAGGACUUGCCACAAGAUUUAAUUAGUGUAAUUAUAAAAUAAAUUUGGUCAAACAUCCGGGCUGCAAGACUAUAAAAUGUUGUUUUUAAAGGCUUAAAGUUUGAAGGUGAAGGUCAUAUGAGAUUCAAUGUCAUUUAUGUAUAUAGAUUAGUUUGUAGUUCUUGUCAAAAGGAUGGUUGAGUAGGACUUUGAGCUAAAUCAGGUCAUUAAUGGGGGCUGUAGACAAAACGGUAAAGUCUUGUACACCGUACGGACCGAGUUUAAUUGCUAUAUGCCUGGGGCAUAAAAACUUGUUUGAUAUAGAUUUGAAAAAAAAGAAUAUGACUUAAGUUUUAAGUGCGUAUUUUGAACGACGUGAAUUAUAGCACGAGCUACGCAUGCUUAGGCGACUAUCACCAUGGAAACCACAGUUUUGGAACUAAAGAAAAAUAAUUAAUACCAAAUUAUGUGAACACAAGUUGCAUAACUGAAAUAAAUUCAAUAUAUGGAUGCGGCGUUUUCAAAGUCCUUGAAUGUACACAUUACUGAAGUUGUAAUUACUAGUACAAUUCCACUGAUCUAUUACUCAGUAAAAUGUUUGUAAAGUAUAUAUUAUAUCAAGUCUUUUGCAAUUAAAAUGGAUUACAAAGUUGUUUUGUAUUUCAAAAAGAUGUAAUAUGUUUACAUGAUAUGACGUAAUGAAAAAGGAAACAGUGUAAAAUUAAUACCGGAAUACAACUUCUGACUGAGCCCAUCUGUGCUCAUAUCUGGUUUCUAACAUGGUGUCCGUUAAUGUACAUGGUAAAAAUAGACAAUAUAUUUGAGUUAGACAUCUAUUUCAUUGAAUGUUGCUUGACGUGAUUGUUUAUUUUACAAUGCAAAUUCCGAUUUUUGAAUCGAAAACUGGAAUUUUGUGUCUGUAGACAAAAUAUUUCAUGAAAUAAAUCAUGAAAUUAAUUAUUUUACUUUUAACCAUUUUGCAAAAUAUCGAAAAUGUCUUAACUGAAAAAUAAUGGAUAUUGGGUUUGCAGUAAGAGAAUUCCUAAUCUAUUUCAACAUUAUUACACUUCAAGAAAGGUUGUUCCGUCAUUUUCAAUUACAUGUUACAGAAGUCACACAAUUUUGUGCUUGACUUUUAAACUUUAGACAAAAAUAGUUCGAUAUAUUAAAUAUUCAUACUGAAAGAUUACAACUGUUGUUUCUGAUGCUGAUUUAUAUGUUUAAAGGGAAAACUCUUUGUACAUAUUGCAACGGUGUUCUCAGAGAGUGAUAGGAAUAUAACUAUAUGUUUACUUGUGUUAAGGUAUUAGAUCACUAUUUUGCAUUUUUAAACAACUUUUACCGUGCCGUUUUUUUUUAUAAAUUUUGUAUAACUUAUGGUAUCUCCUCAAGCUCAAGUAGAGACAAAUUUCAAAGUGAUAGCUACUAUCCAAAAUGUUUGCAGAGAACUCAUUUUACCAUUAAUUUUAAAAAAAGGAACAUCAAACUACAGGUAAACAAUUAUAAAACACAAAAUAAAAAUGUGAAUGUCA